rnacentral:rRNA from 1 species
CCAGUGAACAAUUAAACGGCCGCGGUACCCUAACCGUGCAAAGGUAGCAUAAUCAUUUGUCUACUAAUUAUAGACCUGCAUGAAAGGCAAAAUGAGGGUUUAACUGUCUCUUAUAAUGAAUCAAUUAAACUGAUCUCCUAGUAAAAAAGCUAGAAUUUCCACAUAAGACCAGAAGACCCUGUGAAGCUUAAACUAAACUAUUAAACCUUAUAAUAACCACUUUCGGUUGGGGCGACCUUGGAAAAAAAAAGAACUUCCAAAAACCAUGACUACCAUACCACCCAGGCUUACCAGCCAAUAAAUGACCCAGCACAGCUGAUCAAUGAACCAAGUUACUCCAGGGAUAACAGCGCAAUCCUCUUCAAGAGCCCAUAUCAAAAAGAGGGUUUACGACCUCGAUGUUGGAUCAGGACAUCCUAG